GGCGCUAUCUCCCCCAGAAGGCUGGCGUGUUCGCCAAUCGUACCCCGGGGGUCGUGGGGCUCAGACUAAGAACUUGCAUAUGAAGGCAAUCGAGGUGUCAGUCAGGCGGAGAUCGACAUGAGCUUUUGCUGCUAAUUUAGGGUUCCAUUUUAUCUUAGAAAGAGCAUCUAUUUGUGAGAUAUCACUCACAAAAUGGAUUCAUGCUUUUUUGCAAACCACAACAAUACCAAAAUUCUGAGAGCGAGCAUAAACCGGAGGCUAAAUUAAACGUCUAAGGACCCCGAAGAUGUCUGUAACACUAGGUGCUGUUUUGCUCAUGUUUUUGAGGUCUUGCGAAAUUUCCGCUGCUAGGGAGCUGCCAAUUAUCAUCACACAAAGAGCGAGAGAACAAGAGACGUUCUGUCAGACAACCAGCAGAUGGCGCCAGUGGCCCGUCUGAGCUCAGCCGAGUUGCAGGCGGUACCGGUUCCGCAGCGCCAGCGCCCCUUGAAGUCUCUGCCUAGCGACUGUUGUGAUGUUUAAAAAGAAAGUCCGCGGAGCUCACAGCUGCAUUCCGUCAAUCUGGAGACAUUUUUGUGAUUUAUAAGGAAAGUUUUUUGGGACACUAAUGCUGAAAUGGGAAGAAAACGGCAAAAACCAGGUUAAAGAUCCCCUCCCGCUCCUCUCUGCACUCGGGACUGGAGUGAAACAGGCUAAUCAAUCCAUCAGUACAGCAGCGCUCCUUCUUGAAAGACACAAGUGCUGAGCGGGGAUGCUCGGUAAAUAUUAGACCUCUGAUCACGCCAGAAACAAAGACUUUCAACGGCUCCAACGGCCGCGAGCUGAGAGGUAAAGAGCCCAUCGAGAUGCACGAGCUUCUCAGUGGCGUUGGGGAGAACUCCUGCAGACGGGCGCAUCGUUUGGAUCUGUUCAGGAAUGGCCUGGGUUCGAGGAAGGGGGACCUCGCCCGGCGUUACACAGCUCAGCGACAGCUCGUUAUUCACCCGCUCUGCUCUGGACACCACUCUGAGGCCGGGGUGGAGGAGCCCUCUUGGUCCCUGCUGCUGCUGCCAGGCCCGAUGCCGGCGGGAGGAGAGAGGCUCACAGCCGCCUGGCUGGGCCGUCCCGGGGAAGAAGAGUGGAAAAGGAGCAAGACCGAGAGAAAACGAAACCUCGCUGUGCUUAACUGAUGUGUUCCCUGUCUCUUCUGGGCAA